rnacentral:tRNA from 1 species
AAGGGAGACCUAAUUCAGGUAGGAGACGAAAAAAAAGUAGUCGCUACCAAGAAUCAAUCCCAAAAGGUCGGAGCGAGGCGAAAUUGGCUUUCAAACUAGGUUCUGGGUUCACACAAGACCUGAAUCAGGAACAAGGGCUAUUAGCUCAGGUGGUUAGAGCGCACCCCUGAUAAGGGUGAGGUCCCUGGUUCGAGUCCAGGAUGGCCCACCUGUACAGGUGGCAAAAAGGAAGAAAAGAAGCGAGGAAUCAGCACCUUAUCUUACUGACAUAGUAAGAGAGAAUGCUGGCUCUGAGUAAAGAGUCCAGAGGAACCUUGAAAACUGCAUAGAGCUAGGUGAAAAAGCCAAAAAAGAAGACCGCAA